CCUACGGGGUGCUGCAGUAGGGAAUCUUUCACAAUGGGCGAAAGCCUGAUGGAGCAACGCCGCGUGCAGGAUGAAGGCCUUCGGGUUGUAAACUGCUUUUAUAAGCGAGAAAUAUGAUGGUAACUUAUGAAUAAGGAUCGGCUAACUACGUGCCAGCAGCCGCGGUCAUACGUAGGAUCCGAGCAUUAUCCGGAGUGACUGGGUGUAAAGAGUUGCGUAGGUGGCAUAAUAAGUAGCUAGUGAAAUCUGGUGGCUCAACCAUUCAGACUAUUAGCUAAACUGUUAAGCUCGAGACCGUUAGGGGUAACUGGAAUUUCUAGUGUAGGAGUGAAAUCCGUAGAUAUUAGAAGGAACACCAAUAGCGUAGGCAGGUUGCUGGGACGGGUCUGACACUAAGGCACGAAAGCGUAGGGAGCAAACGGGAUUAGAUACCCCAGUAGUC
rnacentral:rRNA from 1 species